rnacentral:rRNA from 1 species
ACACGACUACAUUAGAUACCCGUGUAGUCCUGGCCGUAAACGAUGUGGACUUGGUGUUGGAAUGGCUCCGAGCUGCUCCAGUGCCGAAGGGAAGCUGUUAAGUCCACCGCCUGGGAAGUACGGUCGCAAGACUGAAACUUAAAGGAAUUGGCGGGGAGCACCACAACGCGUGGAGCCUGCGGUUUAAUUGGACUCAACGCCGGGAAGCUCACCGGAUAAGACAGCGGAAUGAUUGCCGGGCUGAAGACCCUGCAUGACCAGCUG